rnacentral:rRNA from 1 species
GACGAACGCUGGCGGCGUGCUUAACACAUGCAAGUCGAACGGAAAGGCCCUGCUUUUGUGGGGUGCUCGAGUGGCGAACGGGUGAGUAACACGUGAGUAACCUGCCCUUGACUUUGGGUUAACUUCAGGAAACUGGGGCUAAUACCGGAUAGGAGCUCCUGCUGCAUGGUGGGGGUUGGAAAGUUUCGGCGGUUGGGGAUGGACUCGCGGCUUAUCAGCUUGUUGGUGGGGUAGUGGCUUACCAAGGCUUUGACGGGUAGCCGGCCUGAGAGGGUGACCGGCCACAUUGGGACUGAGAUACGGCCCAGACUCCUACGGGAGGCAGCAGUGGGGAAUAUUGCACAAUGGGCGGAAGCCUGAUGCAGCAACGCCGCGUGCGGGAUGACGGCCUUCGGGUUGUAAACCGCUUUCGCCUGUGACGAAGCGUGAGUGACGGUAAUGGGUAAAGAAGCACAGGCUAACUACGUG